CACCGACUGUUUAUCCAAACAAAGGGUAGAAGUUAAUUAUUAGAACAAGUUACUCGAAGACGGGAUAUUUAAGGGUUGAUCCAAACAGGGUAUUACUAAGUCGCCCACAAGUAAGAACAAGUCAAUUUUGUUGUUCUCUUACUCCACAGUGACAUCCACCCAUCCCACACGGGGGUCCCACCAAAUCCUUUCCCGGGCAGCGGGUUGUGGUUGAUGUUCACCCUACUGCAUGUGUGGUGCUUGAUGCUUAUCCAAAAAUAAAUAAAUAAAUAAAUGAACAUACUACACCCCUUUAAAUUCUACAAACGUUAAAUUACACUUAACAAUUAAUGGAUACCCCAAUUUUAAUCCUCCUCAUCUCCCUACUCCUCCUAUCAUCUCUACCACCUCUGUUUUCAGUCUCGUCACCACAUGAUACGUUAACCGCAUCCUCAUCCCUCUUUGUUUCCGACGUCCUAAUUUCAAAAAACGGAAUUUUCUCCGCCGGCUUCUACUCUGUGGGCGAAAAUGCCUAUUGCUUUUCUAUAUGGUUCACUGAACGCACAUUCGACGGCGAUCUCACCGUGGUUUGGAUGGCCAAUCGCGACCGACCCGUCAACGGAGAACGAUCGAAACUCUCUCUCCUUAAAUCCGGCAACCUCAUACUAACCGAUGCCCCCCAAUUCACAGUUUGGUCCACAAACACCAAAUCAAUUUCCCCACUUUAUUUACAACUUCUAAAUACUGGUAACCUCGUUCUUCGAAAUCGAAGUGGUUCAAUGAAGGUCUGGGAAAGUUUUGAUUCACCGACGGACACCCUUCUUCCAAACCAACCCAUAACCCGAAAUUCAAAACUCGUCUCCUCUCGAAGCCAUAAAAAUUUCUCAUCUGGGUUUUACUCCCUGUUUUUCGACUACGAUAACGUUCUCCAUUUACUAUUUGACGGCGAGGGGGCUUCCAGCAUGUACUGGCCCGACCCGUGGUUGAUCAGCUGGGCGGCGGGUCGGAACACCUGGAAUAACAGUGCAACUGCGGCGUUCAAUUCAUCUGGGUAUUUCCGAUCAAGUGAUGCUUUUAAGUUUAAAGCUUCGGAUUAUGGGAUUGGGGUUUGGAGAAGAUUGAGAAUGGAUGUGGAUGGGAAUGUGAGAUUGUAUAGUUUGGAUGAGGGGAAGAGAAUUUGGAAUGUUUCUUGGCAAGCCAUAAGUCAGCCGUGCAGGAUCCAUGGAGUUUGUGGGCCGAAUGCGAUGUGUAAUUAUGAUCAUCCGGGGGAGAAUGCUGGUCGGAGAUGCUCUUGUUUACCCGGGUACAAGGCAAAAAACCUUACAGAUUGGUCUCUCGGGUGUGAACCGGAGUUCAACCUCUCUUGCAACGCUGCCGAAUCCGGUUUCAUCAAACUUCCUCACGUUGAAUUCUACGGCUAUGAUAUCAAAUUCUACGGAAAUUACACCUAUGAAAGGUGUGAGAAAGUAUGCUUACAAAGCUGCAAAUGCUACGGCUUCAAUUUCAAAUUUAACCGCGACUCUGGUUAUUACAAUUGUUAUCCAAAGUCACUGUUGCUUAACGGAUACAGAUCCCCUGCAUUUGGGGAUCCUUUAUAUCUAAGGCUGCCCAAAGCCUCCGUCACUUUUUUUGCACAUCGAAAACAAGAAAUCGGGUUGCAUUGCCCCUCGACCACACAAAACUUGCUACUUGAUAGAGGUUACAAGAAACCCAAACAAAACAGGAUGUUGCAGUUUAUGGUUUGGUUCGCCUCUGCAUUUGGCGGCUUUGAAAUCAUUUUUAUUUGUAUCGUAUGGUUAUUGUUGUACAAAACCCAACAAAGAUCAAGUGAAAACACACAAAGUUACCUUCAAAAUGUGAGCGGGUUUAGGAAAUUCACUUAUGCCGAGUUGAAGAAAGCAACGAGAAAUUUUAGGGAAGAAAUCCGAAGGGGAGGCAGUGGGAUUGUGUACAAAGGAGUUUUAUCUGAUCGUAGAGUUGCAGCAAUCAAGAGACUCAACGAGGCUAAUCAAGGGGAAGCAGAAUUCUUAGCGGAAGUAAGCAUCAUUGGAAGAGUUAACCACAUGAACUUGAUAGAGAUUUGGGGAUACUGCGUUGAAGGAAAUCAUAGGCUAUUGGUUUACGAGUAUAUGGAGUGUGGAUCGUUAGGAGAGAAUCUUAUUUCUGGCACCCUUGAUUGGGAGAAGAGGUUUGAUAUUGUAGUUGGCUCUGCGAGGGGCCUAGCUUAUUUGCACGAAGAGUGUUUGGAGUGGGUUCUCCAUUGCGAUGUGAAUCCUCAAAACAUUCUCUUGGACUCUAAUUUCCAAUCCAAGGUUGCAGAUUUCGGCCUCUUCAAGCUAGUAAAUAGAGGGGGUGGUGGAAAAAAUUCAAGCUUUACUAGCGUGAGGGGGACAAGAGGUUGCAUGGCGCCCGAGUGGAUUUCCAAUCUCCCAAUCACAUCCAAAGUCGAUGUUUAUAGCUACGGAGUGGUGGUGCUGGAAAUGGUCACGGGAAAGAGCCCAAUGACAACGGGUGGUCAGGGGUCUGGAAAUACAGGGGAGAUGGAACAGAGAGGGCUGGUGAAGUGGGUGAGGGAGAAGAUGAAUGGGAAUGGAGAUAAUGAGCUGUGGCUUGAAGAGAUCAUUGAUCCAGUGAUGAAAGGGAAAUGUGAUUUAAGGAAGAUGGGAAUACUGGUUCAAGUGGCAUUGGAAUGUGUAAAGGACGAUGAAGAUGCAAGACCUACAAUGAGUCAGGUUAUAGAGAGGCUUCUACCCCAUUAAAACAGAUGACUAUUAAGACGCAAAGAUGGAUUAAAGAUUGACUUGAAAUCAAGGAUUCCCAUCAUCUGGUUUCAGAAUUUCACUUUAUGCAUGCAUCCUUUCAAAAUAGUCUAGUCUUUUGUAUAAUUAUGCAUCAUUCUAAUAUGCUCUAGCUAUUAGAUAGUAAUCUGCACAGCUUCUUGUUGAUAAGGCACUGUCUAAUUGGUUGUUACGAAAAUAUAACUUCUUAUUCAGUUGUCAAUAAAAUUGUCAUAUUAGCAUGAUAUAUACAUUGUUGCGCAAC